UACGUAGGGUGCAAGCGUUAAUCGGAAUUACUGGGCGUAAGGCGUGCGCAGGCGGUUGUGCAAGACAGAUGUGAAAUCCCCGGGCUUAACCUGGGAAUUGCAUUUGUGACUGUACGGCUAGAGUGUGUCAGAGGGGGGGUAGAAUUCCACGUGUAGCAGUGAAAUGCGUAGAGAUGUGGAGGAAUACCGAUGGCGAAGGCAGCCCCCUGGGAUAACACUGACGCUCAUGCACGAAAGCGUGGGGAGCAAACAGG
rnacentral:rRNA from 1 species